CUUCUCGCUCCCGAUCCCAUCUCCCCACCGGCCUCAACUUGGCUAUGGCGACGGGGAGACGAGGAUCAACACUCCUCUCCAUUGCCUUCUCCACCGCCGCCCGCCACACGCCUCCCCGCGUCCCUCCUUCAUCCCCGUCCCCGAUUGGGCCGCCGCCACCACCGCACCAUCAGGGGACGCCAGGGGAGUGCAACCACCGCGCCGCCAGGGUACGCCGCGUGUACCGGCCGGCAAUGCGUGAGCCGCCGCGGGUACCGCGCCGAUCGCUGCUUCUGACGAUGUGGGAGCCGCCCCAUCCGGUGAGGACGAGGGGCGCCGUCACCGCUGAUCCUCACUUCCUCAGGGCGCAUGCUGCAUCUGAAGCCUCCCUAAUGCGCUCCUCCACUCCGUUUCUAACACGUAGUUCGUACCUGGCUCGCCGCUGCCAUGCGCCGCUGAGCUCUGGAGCAGCCGCUGUCGAAGCCCAUCGCCAGCCGUCCUUGGGUGGGCCGGCACCGAAACUCGGCUCCCAGUGGCAUCCCCGCUCGAGGUCCUUCUCCACCUCAUAUUCGACAGAGUUCCUGAUUUCCUCACUUCUCCUGAGAUGAAGUCUAUUGAUGAUGUGCCAAUGUGAAGCAAUGGAUUGAAGUUGCGGAUCAGGAAGCAUUUUUUAUCCCAGCAGUGGAUCGAGUACUUCCAAACACAGUUAAAGAGUAAGUGUUGGCACGAAGAAUCAUUAUAGGAAUAUAAUGAAUAUCGUGUCUUACUAUCAAGAUGAAUAACAAUCAAUUCAGAUAGUGUUUGAUUAUGUUUCUCCUAAAGCUACCUGCUCAACAUCUGAACGACUCUAACUACUGAGUACAAGUCCAGCUAUAAGGAUCAAAAACACCGUAUGGAAUUCCGAAAGGUCUUUUCCUAUACCGCGAGACCCUGUUUGGAACAUGAUAAUUUUGUGAAUCAACAACUACAUUGUUUCCUAUGAAUUUCAGCAACUACAUUGUUUCCAGUGAAAUUCAGCAACGACUACAUUUUUUCCUAUCAUCCAGGCAUACAGAGGCUUUGAUUUUUUCAAGUAUAGUUCAGAUUUUCAGGGAGCACUUCAACCCAGACAUAAACAAAGCAAAGAACUUGAUUACAAGGUACAAUCGUAACUACCAAU